rnacentral:misc_RNA from 1 species
UAUUCCAGCAGCCGCGGUAAUACGUUCCCGGGCCUUGUACACACCGCCCGUCACAUCACGAAAGUCGGUUGCACUAAAAGUCGGUGGGCUAACCCGCAAGGGAGGCAGCCGCCUAAAGUGUGAUCGGUAAUUGGGGUGAAGUCGUAACAAGGUAGCUGUAGGAAAACCUGCGGCUGGAUCACCUCCUUUCUAAGGAGCUUCUUUUCGCCUCGGAUCAAAACGAGGUCGCGAAAUUAGUUCCCAGGUCAAGAGGAAUCACCGCUCUUCAUUGAGCGAAACGUUUCGUCCUCUUGUCUUUCCUGUUCAGUACUCAGGGCACCGGCCCGUCGUUCGUUGACAAUUGAAUAUGGGUAUGUAGAUAGAGGGGCACGACAUGCAUUGCCUGACGGAAGUCGGGUGGUGUAUGAAACUGCUAAUCGCAUGAAAUCAAGGCACUUUAUGGUCAAUUUACUAAGGGUUGACGGUGGAUACCUAGGCACACAAAGAAUCACUAGUGAAUU